rnacentral:rRNA from 1 species
GACGAACGCUGGCGGCGUGCCUAAUACAUGCAAGUAGAACGCUGAAGAGAGGAGCUUGCUCUUCUUGGAUGAGUUGCGAACGGGUGAGUAACGCGUAGGUAACCUGCCUUGUAGCGGGGGAUAACUAUUGGAAACGAUAGCUAAUACCGCAUAACAAUGGAUGACUCAUGUCAUUUAUUUGAAAGGGGCAAAUGCUCCACUACAAGAUGGACCUGCGUUGUAUUAGCUAGUAGGUGAGGUAACGGCUCACCUAGGCGACGAUACAUAGCCGACCUGAGAGGGUGAUCGGCCACACUGGGACUGAGACACGGCCCAGACUCCUACGGGAGGCAGCAGUAGGGAAUCUUCGGCAAUGGGGGCAACCCUGACCGAGCAACGUCGCGUGAGUGAAGAAGGUUUUCGGAUCGUAAAGCUCUGUUGUAAGUCAAGAACGAGUGUGAGAGUGGAAAGUUCACACUGUGACGGUAGCUUACCAGAAAGGGACGGCUAACUACGUG